UUAACGCUGAGGUGUGAUGACGAGGCACUACGGUGCUGAAGUGAUAAAUGCCCUGCUUCCAGGAAAAGCCUCUAAGCAUCAGGUAACACGAAAUCGUACCCCAAACCGACACAGGUGGUCAGGUAGAGAAUACCAAGGCGCUUGAGAGAACUCGGGUGAAGGAACUAGGCAAAAUGGUGCCGUAACUUCGGGAGAAGGCACGCUGAUGUGUAGGUGAAGCCCCUGCGGG
rnacentral:rRNA from 1 species